AUCACCAUGCGACCCGAGGAGCCGGCCGUGCGGCAGCGGGGCGGGGCGGCCCCGGGGCUCCGAGCGCCGCCUCAGCUUCUGCGAGUGGGUGUCCGGGGGGGGCGCCGGGGCGGGGAGUCCUCUCCCACCCCUCCCCUCACUUCCUCCCGCCCCCGGUCCCCAUUCUGACCCCCAGGGUCCUCUGUCUGUCCCCCUCCCUCCCGAUCCCUCCUCGCUCCCCCGCUCUCAUCCCUUCUGUCUCCUUUCCCGCCCCCCCCACAGCUCUCCCCACGUUGGCCCCUCCAUCCGUCUCCCCCCUCUGACUCCCCUCUGUCUGCCCCCCAGGGUCCCCCGUCUUCCCUCUUCCUUCUCCCUCCCCCCUGCUGACCCCAUUUGCUGACCCCUAGAGUCCCCUGUAUCCCCCCAUGCCCUCCUCCCUGACCUCUGGAGUCCGCUCCCCCAUUUUGACCCCCAGUAUCCCCCAACGGGACCCCCUUUAUGUCCCAUAGAAGCCCCCCCACGACCCCCAGUUUUCCCUUCCAACCUCUCUCUCCACCCCCAGACCCCCUUUUUCCCCACGGAAGUCUCGUUCUCCUCUUCCCCCCCAAGGCCCCCCAACCUCCACUUUCUGCCCCUUGAUGCCCUUUACACCCCACAGAAGCCCCACUCACACCUUCCCCCCCCCCAGAUUCCACACAACCCCCUCUCCACCCCCUGACUCCCUUUCCACCCCACAGAAGCCCCACUAACCCCUUUCUCACCCCCCCCAAAACCCCCCUUUUCCCCACUUAGAAUCAUGAAGAAGGAUCUGGAGACGUCCUAGAGAGGUCUGGGGGCAUCCAGGGGGUUCUGGACUCAUCCAGAAGAGUCUGGAGAUGUCCAAGGAGGAUCCAGGGAGUCCCCAGGUUGGUCCUGUGGGCCCCUGGAAGGGUCUGGCAGCUCCCACGAUGGGCCCAGGAGCUCUGAGGAGUCUCUGGGCUGAUCUGGAGAUGUCCCAGUAGAGUCUGCGAGGGUCCAGGGAGCCCUCGUGUGGGUCUGAGUGGUCAUCCAGAAGGGUCUGGGGAUGGCCCAGAGAGGACUUGGAGGGUCUGGGGGGUCCUUUGGUGGGUUCAGAGGGUCCUGUUGUCUUCUGGAAGGGUCUGAAGAUGUCCCAGAAGUGUCCUGGGUGUCCAAAGGGUGCUCAUGUGGGUCUGUGGAGCCAUCCAGAAAGUUUGGGGGUGUCCCAGAGAGGCCUUGGAGGGUACAGGGGGUCCUCCUGUUGAUCCAUGGGGUCCAUGGAUUCAUCCAGAAGGGUCUGGAGAUGUCCAAGAAGGUCCCUGUAGGGUGCAGGGGGUCCCCAGGUGUGUCCAGGGCAUCCUUGCAGUCAUCCAGAAGGGUCUGGGGAUGUCCCAGGACUGUCUUGGAGUGUCCAGGGAGUGUUCAUGUGGGUCUGGGGGGUCCUGGAGCCAUCCAGAAGGGUCUGGAGAUGUCCCAGAGAGGACUUGGAGGGUCCGGGGGGUCCUUAGGUGGGUUCUGCUGUCUUCUGGAAGGGUCUGAAGAUGUCCCAGGAGUGUCUUGGGGUGUCCAGGGGGUGCUCGUGUGGGUCUGGGGGGUCCUGGAGCCAUCCAGAAGGGUCUGGGGAUGGCCCAGAGAGGACUUGGAGGGUCUGGGGGGUCCUUUGGUGGGUUCAGAGGGUCCUGUUGUCUUCUGGAAGGGUCUGAAGAUGUCCCAGAAGUGUCUUGGGGUGUCCAGGGGGUGCUGCCACUGAGCCUCCCACUGUCCUAUGAGGGGACAAAAGGACCCCCCUGGGGGCAUUGCGUCAAAGUUGGGGACACUGUGAGCAGCUUGAGGACUUCCCAGGGGAAGUGGGGACACCGCGUCACUGUGUCACACCUCAAAGUUGGGGACACCCCCACCGUGUCACACCUCAAAGUUGGGGCAUCUCUGUGUCCCCCCGAUGGUGUCAGACCCCAAAGUUGGGGACACACCACAGUGUCACACCCCAAAGUUGGGGACACCCCCACAUGUUACACCCCAAAGUUGGGGUCUGUCCCAGAGGUGGGAGUGCCCCCACAGUCCCCACCAUGGCGUCACAUCCCAAAGUUGGGGACCCCCCUCUGGGGACCCAUUCUGUGCGCCCCCCAUUGCAGACUGCACUGUUCCCAUGGGGUGGGAGCGGGGGGCACCCUUUAUUUUUGGGAUUAAGGUUUAUUUCGUGAUAACGGGGGGUUGGGGGAUGCCCCCCCUACGUGAAUAGCAGGAAGAGGAGCGGCUGUGGGGCUCCGUGUGUCACACCGGGGAGUGCUUUGGGGACACUGCAGCAUCCCAGCCCCAUAGCCCCCAUGGCCCUAUAACCACUACAGCCCCAUCUCAUAGCCAUCCCAUAUCCAUAUCCCAUCCCAUAUCCCAUCCUGUAUCCAUAACCCUUCCAAUAUCCAAACCAUCAUAUCCAUCCCAAACCCAUACCCCAAAUCCAUCCCGUAUCCAUAUCCCAAAUCCAUCCCGUAUCCAAAUCCCAAAUCCAUCCCGUAUCCAUAUCCCAAAUCCAUCCCAUAUCCAUAGCCCAUCCCAUAUCCGUAUCCCAUCCCAUAUCUCAUCCCCUAUCCAUAUCCCAUCCCAACUCCAUGCCAAAUCUCUUUCUAUAUCCAUAUCACCUUAUCCAUCCCAUAACCAUCCCAAAUCCAUCUCAAAUCCAUAUCUCAUCCCAAACCGAUCCCAUCUCCUUAUCCAUCCCAUAUCAAUGUCCCAUCCCUUAUCCAAUCCCAUACCCCAUCCUAAAGCCAUCCCACAUCCAUACCCCCACAUCCCAUAUCCUAUCCCCAUCCUGUACCCCAUGUCCCAUAUCCAUUUCCAUCCCACAGCCUUCCUGAAUCCAUAUCCCCACAUCCAUCCCGUGUCCACCCCAUAUCCAUUCCAUAUACCUAUCCCAUCCUAUGAUCAUCCCAAUCCCAUCCCAUAUCCAUAUCCCGUCCCAACUCCACCCCAUAUCGUUCCCAUACCUUUGCCAAGUCUGUCCCGUACCCGUAUACCCACUUCCUGCAUCCCAACCCCAAUCCCAAUCCCACACCUCAUUCCCAAUCCCACAUGCCAAUCCCGUAUCCCGCAUCCCAAUCCCUAUCCCGAAUCCCAAUGCCAAUCCCACAUCCCAGCCCCAUGUACCAUCCGUCAAUCCAUCGCAAUCCCAAAUCUCAUAUCCCAGUCCUAACCCCAAUCCCACACCCCCAAUCCCAAUCCCACACCCCUAAUCCCAAUCCCAACCCCUAUUGCAAUAGGGCGCACUCCGGGCCCCCCCCGCAGCUCUAUCCCGCCCCCGGCCUCUCAUUGGUCAGGUGCAGCUCUAUCCCGCCGCCGGCCUCUCAUUGGCUGAGAUGCAGCUCCGUCCCACCCCCGGCCUCUCAUUGGCUGAGGUGCAGCUCUAUCCCGCCGCCGGCCUCUCAUUGGCUGACGUGCAGCUUCGUCCCGCCCCCAUCCUCUCAGUGGUCAGACGCAGCUCCGUCCCGGCCCCGGACUCUCAUUGGCUGAGCCUGCAGUUCCAUCCUGCCUUCAGCCUCUCAUUGGUCAGGUGCAGCUCCUUCCCCUCCCCGGCCUCUCAUUGGCUGACGCGCAGCCCAGUCCCGCCCCCGGCCUCUCAACCGGUCAGCGGCAGCGCCGCCGGCUCCCAUUGGCUGAGGCGCAGCGCGCGGGAGCGGCCGUUGGCAGCCGGCUCGGAGCCGCCCGGCUCUCCCCUCAGCCGGCGCCGCUCCGCAGUCCGGGCCGCCCCGCACGGCACCGCCGACGGAACGGCACCGGGACGGAACCGCGGCACGACGGGAGCGGUGCUGAGCUCUGCGGUGGGUCGUGUGGUGUUGUGGGGAAGCACUGCAGAUGGAAAGCUGCUGUGUGGAGCCCCACAGGAUGAGUUGCAGAGGCCCCUGAAGGAAAAGGAGAAGGAAGGGCAUUUGCAGAGGGAAAGGCUGUCCCGCUGGCCUUAGGUGUUGCUGAACGGGAGGGGUGGCCAAUGCUUUCUCUUUCCGCUGACUCACGGAUGGUGGCAAAUGCCUUCUGGGGGUGGUUCCAGCAGUGGGAAGAAAACAACUGGCAGCGGAGGGGUGAACCUCUUUGGGCUGCUGAGCUGUGUGCUGAACCAUAAGGAAGGUGGCUGUAAAGGUGUGCCGUGCAGAUGUCGUGUGCCCAGCAGUCGGGCCGAUGAAGAGCAACAAAUGAAGCGCCAGUGGCUCAGAUGGCUUCUCGCCUCCUGGGUGCCCUUGCCUCUUUCCUUGCCAUGGCCUUGAGGCUUUUCCUCAGCUGGCUGGCUGAUCCUGUCCCCGGCGGCUGCCCUUUCCUCCUGCCAGGCACACGAUGGUAAGCUUUUGGCCUGCACCACAGUCACUUGUCAUCUUUGCUUUGCCAUGACAUCGGAUCCAGUUUCUGUUCCUUGUAAUAUGUGUGUAUUUUGUGUACUUAUGGAGGUUUUUUUUUUUGUCUUUUGGUUUUGAUUUUCUCUUUUUUGUUUGUUUUUCUCCUCUAUUUUAAUUUGUGUUUUGUGUGGGCUUUUUUCAUUUGUCUAUUUUAGUUGUUUUUUUUUUUGUGGGGCGCUCUGUGUUAUUGGGUUUUCUAUUUUUCUUUUUUCUUGUUUCUUUCAUUUUUUGUUUUGUGUGUGUGUGUUUGUGGCUGGGUGGGUUUUUGUUUUUCUUUUUUUGUUGUUCUGAUUUGUUGCUUUAAAUGUGUUUGUUUUGAUUUGCUGUUGUUUCCCCUCGUUUUCCUUUUUUUUUUUUUGUUCUUUGCUUUCCACCUCUAUCUUGAUUUUUUUUUUGCCUAUUAUUUUGUCCCAUUACAUUUCUUUUUUUCUUUGACUAUUCCUUUUUUUUAUUCUUUUUUUCUUUUUUUUUCUUCCAUUGCUUUGCUCUGGUUUGCUCCUUUGUUUUUCUAUGCUACCUUUGCUUUGCAUUGCAGUUCAUUUUCCUUUCUUUGCUUUGCUUUCUCUUACUGCUUUGGUUGUUCUCUUUUAUCCCCUUUGCUUGUUUUUUUUGUCUGUUUUUUUUUCCUUUACAUUGUUAUGCUUCAGUUAGCUUAUGUUUUUUGCCACUUCCUUCGUUUGAAUUCUUUGAUUUGCUACGGUAUUACAUUUUAUGUCAUUGCUUUUUCCUUGUAUUUCUUGUAUCGUUUUGCUUUGCUUUUUCUUUGGUUUGCUUUUUU
rnacentral:lncRNA from 1 species